AAUCUAAACAUUACAGUUUACAGGAUUUCAUUGAACUUAUUAUUCUAACACUUACAGAUUAAGUUAUUGUUUGUUGUGACAAUAUAACUACAAAAGAAAAAAUGUUUAGACAGUAUUCAAUAGUUAAUUGAUUUGUUUUAUUAUACAAAACAUUUUAUUAUUUAAUUAUAUUGUAAUAUAUAACUACAUACUUAAUGUUGUAAACUAUAUAUAACCACUUAUUAUAUUAGGUGUACAUAUUUUAAAUAAUUUGUAUUAGUUAUUAGAAUACUAAUUGUUAAGUUUACUUUUGUUGUAAUUUUACAUUUUAUGAACUACUGUUAUUAAUAAUGUAAUGAACAGUGUUUGGAGUAGAUAACUAAUAAUUUAUCUAGAUUAAGAUGACUGAACUAAAUUGUAUCUAGAUAAACAUAUUAUUAAUAAAUUUUAAUUUUAAUCUAGAUAAAUAUCAGAUAACUUAAUAUUUAUUUUUGCUAAUAGUAGCAAGGUAACAAUGAUAGCAAAGGUAAAUGUUUUGCUAUUGCCUAUUGUUAGUUGCUAUUACAACCAAACAUAACAUUAUUUUAUGCUUUUGGGUGUAAUCAUUGUUUAAAUGUAAAACUACAGACUAAUUUCUACAGACAAACUAAAAACUACAGACAAACAUUCAAUAUUGAAAUACAUGGUUUAAUAAUAAAUUUUAUCAAAUGUCUGUUUUCUAUGUAAUAAAUAUACAGUACACAGAAAAAUGUAAAUACAAUAACUACCAAUAUAACUAUUUUUAAUUUUCAAUUUUUUUUUAGUCUGUUAAAAUAAAUUAUCUAGAUAAGUAAUGAUAGAUAAAUAUAAUUUUAUCUAGAUGAAAGAUGAAUAAAAUUGAACUGAAAAUUAUCUAGAUAAGAUAAAAGAUAAAUCAUUUUUAUCUAGAUAUUUUCCAACACUGGUUAUAUACAUAGGUAUUAUUCUUUUUGGCUAUGCAAUGCAAAAAAGAGCUAAUACUGGGGUUGGGAGAGACCACUGUUGUAGGUGAC